rnacentral:rRNA from 2 species
UUUGAUCCUGGCUCAGGACGAACGCUGGCGGCGUGCCUAAUACAUGCAAGUCGAGCGGACAGAUGGGAGCUUGCUCCCUGAUGUUAGCGGCGGACGGGUGAGUAACACGUGGGUAACCUGCCUGUAAGACUGGGAUAACUCCGGGAAACCGGGGCUAAUACCGGAUGGUUGUUUGAACCGCAUGGUUCAAACAUAAAAGGUGGCUUCGGCUACCACUUACAGAUGGACCCGCGGCGCAUUAGCUAGUUGGUGAGGUAACGGCUCACCAAGGCAACGAUGCGUAGCCGACCUGAGAGGGUGAUCGGCCACACUGGGACUGAGACACGGCCCAGACUCCUACGGGAGGCAGCAGUAGGGAAUCUUCCGCAAUGGACGAAAGUCUGACGGAGCAACGCCGCGUGAGUGAUGAAGGUUUUCGGAUCGUAAAGCUCUGUUGUUAGGGAAGAACAAGUACCGUUCGAAUAGGGCGGUACCUUGACGGUACCUAACCAGAAAGCCACGGCUAACUACGUGCCAGCAGCCGCGGUAAUACGUAGGUGGCAAGCGUUGUCCGGAAUUAUUGGGCGUAAAGGGCUCGCAGGCGGUUUCUUAAGUCUGAUGUGAAAGCCCCCGGCUCAACCGGGGAGGGUCAUUGGAAACUGGGGAACUUGAGUGCAGAAGAGGAGAGUGGAAUUCCACGUGUAGCGGUGAAAUGCGUAGAGAUGUGGAGGAACACCAG